AGUGGUUCUUGGGUGCUGCACCCUGGAAUUGGGCUCCUUCCUCUCUGGUUCCGGCUGCAUCAACCCAGAACCGCA
rfam:Myotis lucifugus cont2.20712, whole genome shotgun sequence.